GGGGAUGUCAAUAAUCGACAAAAACAAUUCUUUAAAAUCCGCUAUGCGCGCUGGCCGCGCGUAAAACUAGCCGCACAACAUAAGUGCAAAAAAUCUAUUCGCUAAGGUUAAAACCGCUUUUAGCGGCUUGAACUUAGUUCCUGCUUACGCUUAAACAAUCGUAAGCCAUCGGCCACUCACGCCUUAUAGGUGAUCCCCGGUGUUAACAUAAGGCUUACUCGUUUAAGUUGUCUGGCUUAAACGAGAACACUUCCCCAGACUAGAAGUUAAGAUUUUCGCUAACCUUAUUAUCUUUUCUUUGAACUACCAAGGUUAGCUAUCAUAGUAGAUGGGUUUUGACGAAGUUUUUUGGACAGGGGUGUGAGGCCCCUCAUCUCCACCC
rnacentral:tmRNA from 1 species